AUGGCUGUGCCUCGCUCAAUGCAGAGGCCGAGGGUUAUCCUCCUUUUCGAUAAAAAUAAGCCUGCCAUGGUAGCGAUUUUGGCCCAGCCCAAAAACCACUGCCAUGGCAGCCCUUUCUGCUGCGCAAGCGGGAGCUACGUGCACCGGGCUGCCCCUUUAGUUAACUCUUGCCGAGAGGACGCGGUCUGUGCAGUCCCGGUUGACUACGAGAGAUGCCUAGCACUAGCUCAGGACGUGGAGAGCUACGGGUUAUUUCCCUUUCUGAUGAAAAAAGGGGGAAGAAAGAGCAGAAAAGCUGCAAUAUUACUCAGCGCAAAAUUCAGUGUCUUGCUUGCUCGUGGUUCAGAGUAA
rnacentral:rRNA from 1 species